GAAAGGCUGCGUGAAAUUUAUUUGCGGCUGGACACAUGAAACCGUCAUUUUCAAUGUGUCUCAAUUAGG
rfam:Firmicutes bacterium CAG:227 genomic scaffold, scf234